GUGCUCACUUUGGCGGCACAUACAAUAAAAUUGGAAAGCUACAGAGAUUAGCACGGCCCCUGCACAAAGAUAACACGCACAUUCAUGAAACUGUCCAUAAAAAA
ensembl:snRNA U6 U6 spliceosomal RNA